GACGAACGCUGGCGGCGUGCUUAACACAUGCAAGUCGAACGAAGUGGCGAACGGGUGAGUAACGCGUAAUCAACCUGCCCUUCAGCGGGGGACAACAGUUGGAAACGACUGCUAAUACCGCAUAAUGAGGGAGGGGAUUGCGUCUGAUUAGCUAGUUGGCGGGGUAACGGCCAACCAAGGCGAUGAUCAGUAGCCGGUCUGAGAGGAUGAACGGCCACACUGGGCCUGGGACACGGCCCAGACUCCUACGGGAGGGAGCAGUGGGGAAUCUUCCCCAAUUGACGAAAGGCGUACUGAGCAACGCCGCGUGAGUGAUGACGGCCUUCGGGUUGUAAAGCUCUUUUAAUCGGGACGCGGUACCGGAAUAGAAAGCCACGGCUAACUACGUGCCAGCAGCCGCGGUAAUUC
rnacentral:rRNA from 1 species